GACGAACGCUGGCGGCGUGCUUAACACAUGCAAGUCGAACGGAAAGGCCCUGCUUUUGUGGGGUGCUCGAGUGGCGAACGGGUGAGUAACACGUGAGUAACCUGCCCUUGACUUUGGGAUAACUUCAGGAAACUGGGGCUAAUACCGGAUAGGAGCUCCUGCUGCAUGGUGGGGGUUGGAAAGUUUCGGCGGUUGGGGAUGGACUCGCGGCUUAUCAGCUUGUUGGUGGGGUAGAGGCUUACCAAGGCUUUGACGGGUAGCCGGCCUGAGAGGGUGACCGGCCACAUUGGGACUGAGAUACGGCCCAGACUCCUACGGGAGGCAGCAGUGGGGAAUAUUGCACAAUGGGCGGAAGCCUGAUGCAGCAACGCCGCGUGCGGGAUGACGGCCUUCGGGUUGUAAACCGCUUUCGCCUGUGACGAAGCGUGAGUGACGGUAAUGGGUAAAGAAGCACCGGCUAACUACAUG
rnacentral:rRNA from 1 species